rfam:Mesocricetus auratus contig067002, whole genome shotgun sequence.
AAAAAGGGCCUCUGUUGUGACUGACACAUGGAGGGCAACUAGACUGCUCUGCAUGUGGAAUGAACAUCAAGAUAUUUCGGAAGCUUUAUUUAUUAUGUAUACAGCAUUCUCCUUGCAUGUAUGCCUGCAGGUCAAACAGGG